UUAGGAAUAUUCGUCAAUGGGGGAAACCCUGAACGAGCAAUGCCGCGUGAGUGAUGAAGGCCCUUCGGGUUGUAAAACUCUGUUGUUUGGAAAGAACUGUAAGAUUAGGAAAUGAAUCUUACUUGACGGUACCAUUCAAGAAAGCCACGGCUAACUACGUGCCAGCAGCCGCGGUAAUACGUAGGUGGCGAGCGUUAUCCGGAUUUAUUGGGCGUAAAGCGUGCGCAGGCGGUUUGUUAAGUCUAAAAUCAAAGCCCGAAGCUUAACUUCGGUUCGUUUUAGAAACUGGCAGGCUUGAGUAUGGUAGAGGCAAACGGAAUUUCUAGUGUAGCGGUAAAAUGCGUAGAUAUUAGAAGGAACACCAGUGGCGAAGGCGGUUUGCUGGGCCAUUACUGACGCUCAUGCACGAAAGCGUGGGGAGCAAAUAGG
rnacentral:rRNA from 1 species